rnacentral:rRNA from 1 species
CCUACGGGAGGCAGCAGUGGGGAAUCUUGCGCAAUGGGCGAAAGCCUGACGCAGCCAUGCCGCGUGAAUGAUGAAGGUCUUAGGAUUGUAAAAUUCUUUCACCGGGGACGAUAAUGACGGUACCCGGAGAAGAAGCCCCGGCUAACUUCGUGCCAGCAGCCGCGGUAAUACGAAGGGGGCUAGCGUUGCUCGGAAUUACUGGGCGUAAGGGGAGCGUAGGCGGAUAGUUUAGUCAGAGGUGAAAGCCCAGGGCUCAACCUUGGAAUUGCCCUUGAUACUGGCUAUCUUGAGUACGGAAGAGGUAUGUGGAACUCCGAGUGUAGAGGUGAAAUUCGUAGAUAUUCGGAAGAACACCAGUGGCGAAGGCGACAUACUGGUCCGUUACUGACGCUGAGGCUCGAAAGCGUGGGGAGCAAACAGGAUUAGAUACCCUGGUAGUCCACGCUGUAAACGAUGAGUGCUAGUUGUCGGCAUGCAUGCAUGUCGGUGACGCAGCUAACGCAUUAAGCACUCCGCCUGGGGAGUACGGUCGCAAGAUUAAAACUCAAAGGAAUUGACGG